rnacentral:tRNA from 1 species
GGAGGGGUGGCCGAGUGGUUGAAGGCGCACGCUUGGAAAGCGUGUGUAUGCAGCAAUGUGUACCGUGGGUUCGAAUCCCAUCUCCUCCGCCA